rnacentral:tRNA from 1 species
UCUAAGGAUGAAUGAAAGUAAAAUUUCAUUCUAAAUAAUAUACACAGGUAAUGUUGACCGUCCUCAUUUCUCUUCUUAAAAUAGUGUUACUCUUGCGUAGGGGCCGGUAGCUCAGUUGGUUAGAGCACACCCUUGAUAAGGGUGGGGUCGAAAGUUCGAGUCUUUCUCGGCCCACCAAUUUAGAUAUCAUGGGGGAUUAGCUCAGCUGGGAGAGCGCCUGAUUUGCAUUCAGGAGGUCAGCGGUUCGAUCCCGCUAUCCUCCACCAAAAACACUUAGUUAUAAAAAAUUGUAAAUAAAAAAUAAUUAAUAUCAAUAUCUAUAUCCGAACAUUAGUAAUGUUAUUAGCUAAUGUUCAAAAUAAAAAUUUGAUUCAACACAGAAUUUUUUUCUGUGCAUAAAUC